rnacentral:snRNA from 1 species
UACUGUUACAGCACUUUAGAAUUUGUCUAGCAGAUUAUCUGGUUUUCGCUGGAAAACCCUU